GGUAAACAGUUUGUGGCCAUACAUUCACAAAAUGAUGUCAUUUUUACCAACAGUAACUGUCAAUAAAGCUGCAAUCCUCUGUAUGCAGGAUUGAUACAAAUCUCUUUUGUAUGAGAGGGAGCAACAGGCAGCACAAGCAUUAGAGCCUGUACCACGGAGGAAACAGAUUUGUGUGCUCACGCAGUGGGUGAUAGAUAAAGAGUGAAUUAGGUUUGAGUCAUCUGAUACCCUGAGUCAGCCUAUAUGAAACCUCCCCAUCCAAGUCAUAAAGCUGAUCUCCAAGCAGAUCUUCAAGGAUUACCAUUUAUAUAAUGUCUUACUGGUCCUAAAUGCAAUAGGGUGCUGCUCUUCAUACAGAGAAAACAGAGUGCUUGUACUGUACACACCAGGCUUAUUCAUUUCCACCACAUUUGAAAGUUGCAUUUGUAUGACACAAUUUCUCUACCCUUCUGACCAACAGAAUUGUGUUGCAGUUCUGGGCUGUGACUCCAGAAGGAAUUAGGGGCUCAAAGGGACUCUGAUGGGAACAUGUUCAGUGGAAGCAGCUGAAAAGCAUUACGUGGCCCUUCAACCAACCUGCUCCUGCUCCUAUUUUAGCAUGGGCGGAUGGGCCACAUCCAUGGGCUAUAGUUCAUCCUAGAAUUCCAUCAAUUUGGAAGGAACCAGGCUAUCAGUGCAGAUGCAGAUGCCACAGAAUCACAGAAUGGUGUAGAUUGGAAGGCAACUCUGGAGGUCACCUGAUCCAUCCCCUCCUGCUCAAACAAGUUGUCUGCAUUUACCCGGACAAAUAUCAUGAUGGGAGCCUGAUCUUCAUGGCUGUACACAGGCAAGAUAUACUUAAGACAGUAAUACGAUACACACAGAGAAAUGGAAGACGAAGACAUGAUCAGACCAUAGUCAUAAAUUGCAUAGCUACCACCUUGGUUCAUGCAGCCCUGAUAACCAAAUGUAAAGCUUUGAAAACAAAGAUAAUCCUUCUGACUGUAACAAAAUGUGCCUGAAUAACAAUCAUAGAAUCAUAGAAUAUCCUGAGGGGGACUAAACAAGGGACUAAAAAUAAUGGAAAAAAGCUUCAGAACAUUUUCUUUUCUUGACUGCCAUUUUGAGAUGUGAAGAAAAGAGAACAGCAUUAUAAUUAAAGGAACGUUUCCCCUCUCUUUUUUUGUAAAUAUCCUAAUGGAACAUUUUGACCUGAUCUGAAAGAUUUUGACAAGCUCAUGUUGUGACGUGAGUGUCGGGUUGCCCAGCAAUGCCAACCCAUAGAAGGAAGCAGGCAUGAUCCUGCAUUUGAAAUUGCUUUGGGUACAAAUAAGGGCUGUAUUCUAUAAGUAGUCAAGAGCCAAUGGGAGAUUUGGAGAUCAAGGAGAAAGCAUUAGCCUUUAUGAGGUGAAAUAUUUAGUACUAGCAUUUAAGGACUUAAAUAUCUUUUAGAGUAUGGCUCUUAACUAUUAUUUACCUAGUGAUUUAUAGCUCAGUUCUCCAUGCGGCAAGAAAGUCUGGUCUUGCAGCAGACUAAAGUAGCCCUGUGUGUCUCCUGUUUCCUUAUUCUUUGCACUUUUCUUUGUUUCUUUUAUUGGACUUUCUUUUUAUACCUCCCUCCUUGCAUUAAGUCCGUAGACCUGUCACAUGGGUUUCAUGCCCACCUUUAUAGAUGUUACAUCCACCAGAACAUCCAGUGUUGAAAUAGUUAGCAUCAAAGUGACCUUGCAGGACUUUCAAGCUAACAGUUUCAUAAGACACUGAUGGAUAAGAGGACGGAUGAUCCUGGUGAGAAAUGCUUUAGGAUCUCUCAAGUUUAGGCAAUCAUCACUGUAUCAGUUUGUUAAGAAGUUUAUCACAGCAGCCAUGGGCUAUAAAAAUACGAACCCAGAAGGAAGGACCUACUCUGAGGGACUUGCCACAGCCCUCAGCGAAAGCUUCGACCCUCAGGAGGGCCAGGAGCCCAUGAAUGGACAGGACGAAGGUGUUACCUGACGGUGCAGGUGGAAGGACCCUGUGUUU
rnacentral:lncRNA from 1 species